AUGAAACCCAGAAUACAAUGGUCGCCUGCUGUCUGGAACCCAAGUACUGAUAGUCAGAGUGUGGAUCGUGCAUAUCGGAUUGGGCAGAAUAAGGAUAUCAUUGUAUAUAGAUUAAUGACUUGCGCAACUGUUGAAGAAAAGAUUUACAGAAAACAGAUUUUCAAAGGAGGAUUGUUUAGAACUGCAACUGAGGAGAAAGAGCAGAUUCGGUACUUUAGUCAACAGGGAAGAGUCUUUAUAAUCUCAUAUAGAGUUCUUGGUGUCAGUCACCACAGUUUACUGUUCUCCAAGACAGCACCACCUCUGCCAGAGGUAGACGCAGAACAGGAGGAAGUUGAAAGUAUUAAACGAACUUUACAUGCAGGAACCUCAACUUCUAGUUCGGCACUUGAACGUAAUGUAAAUGGGGCCCAAUAUGCUUUCAAGCCCAAAGGAUGUGAUCUUAAACAAGAGGGUUUCUUCUUCACCAGUUGAUUCAGGAAAAAUGACAAAAUCAGAGAUCAAAGAGAAAAUCAGUACGCUGUCGCAAAUGCUUGCAAAGAAGGCUUUAGUUUCAACAUUACCUGAUAAGGGACAAAAACUAGAGAGACACCUUUCUGAAUUGAAUGUUGAGCUUCGUAGAUUUGAGAGUGAUGUUAUCGACUUGGAUGAUGUAACUGAGGUGCUUAAAGGAGUGGCGAUAUAAGACCUCACGCUGGUGGAGAAGGAAACAAAGGCAUGGGAAAUGUUAGGCGCUCUGUUGUCAUUAUAAUUUUUGGUCGAAACUGUGAAUCGAAACUAUAAUGCUGUUUAUUGAAUCAGCGUGCUAGCGUAGCCUCACCACAGAGCAGUGAGCAUUUUGUUCUCUGGCCAUGUAUGUUGAGCUUCCAACCAUUUAGCAAGA